rnacentral:rRNA from 1 species
UGGGGAAUAUUGCACAAUGGGCGCAAGCCUGAUGCAGCCAUGCCGCGUAUAUGAAGAAGGCCUUCGGGUUGUAAAGUACUUUCAGCGGGGAGGAAGGCGAUAAGGUUAAUAACCUUGUCGAUUGACGUUACCCGCAGAAGAAGCACCGGCUAACUCCGUGCCAGCAGCCGCGGUAAUACGGAGGGUGCAAGCGUUAAUCGGAAUUACUGGGCGUAAAGCGCACGCAGGCGGUCAGUCAAGUCGGAUGUGAAAUCCCCGGGCUCAACCUGGGAACUGCAUUCGAAACUGGCAGGCUAGAGUCUUGUAGAGGGGGGUAGAAUUCCAGGUGUAGCGGUGAAAUGCGUAGAGAUCUGGAGGAAUACCGGUGGCGAAGGCGGCCCCCUGGACAAAGACUGACGCUCAGGUGCGAAAGCGUGGGGAGCAAACA